rnacentral:lncRNA from 1 species
AGGAAGGAAAUUUGGUAGAUCUAUGUGCUGAGAGAUAAGUGGCCAUGUAAUGAGGUAGGUUAACAACAAUUGUUCCUGUAUAUAUUGUUGGCACACACAAAUGUGUUUGAUUUGGAGUAGGAACUGAUAACUUCUUUGGAUUUGAAUUUCUUCUGUCAGCAAUAGGAGAGAAGUUCAGUCAGAUGAUUUCUAUCUGUGGGAAUCCAACUUUGACUUGUGGUGAUCCUACCCCUUCCUCAGUCUUUUACAAAUUAAGUGGCCUCCUCACCUGAGACGAGUAGAACUGUAUGCACAGUAAGGCACCAGGACGGAUCUAGACUGGCAAAGAAGUGGUGAGAGAAAUGGGGAAAGGGUUAGGGAAGAAGGGAGAGGACUCUCAACUACAGUCAUAGUGAGACCUUGAGUGCCUCUGCGUUAGUCCUUCCUCUUCCUCUACUCCUUGUGUCUCAGCUGAAGGGCAAACUUCAGGGACAAUCUCAUUUUGUUUCUACCACUGUUCAGGGUCCCACCUUGCGACCCUCUCCUGAGAGGUUGUCCACAACUCUGUCCCACCCCCGUUCUCCAUCUUCUUCCGCCAGAUCUGGGGCUGGGGCAUUGGAGAGGGGAAAGAGGAAACGUCGUGGCUGGCAGGGUAGGAAGGGAUGCGUGUCCAGGUGAGAAAGAGGUGUGACGUGCAGAUGGGAUGCCCGCCGCUAUGACGCUGCCGAGACCCGCGGUGACUGCGUCAGAGUUUCACCCGGGGAGGUGAGCAGCAGCGGGACGGGGGAACGGCGGGGUAGCCAAGCAACGCCGGACGCGCUGACGUCGCCGGGGCGGCAAAACGUCCGCCCGGGCCCGAGGCGGGCGGAGGCAGCUGUGGUUACGUGCGGGGGGCCGGUGACGCAGUCGCGGGGCGCUGGGACGCGGCUUGCGGAGCCGGCCGGCGAGCGCAGGCCCCAGGCUCGGGCGCGGCGGCGGGACAGCACCUACCUUCCCGGCUUCGGGUCCGGGAGUGCGGGGCGCGGAGCCGCCGGAGCGCUGCCUCCCUCCUUCCUCCUCCCCUCGCCCCCGCCCCGCGGCGCGACACACAAUACUCGCCGGAAGCGGAAGCCGCGCCGAGGCUCGUGUCAGUGGAAGCUGGGGUGUCGGCGGGCGGCCGCGGCCGGGUCUAGCGGUGCCUGCGGAAGAAGGAGGAGGAGGGCUGGCGAUGAGAAGCAGCAGGGGGAAUCAAGGGCAAGAAGGGACCCAGAGGGGCAGGUGGCUGAGAUGCUGGCGUCCAGGUGACCCGAGGAAUCCUCUGGAGAUACAGGCCCGCGCAUGCGCGUGCUCGAGCGCUGAAGCCCAUUGCCCGCAGGGCGCUGGACUGGCGCCCCGGCCGGCGAGGCUGUCUAGUCCAGGCUCCAGGCCCCGGCUCUGGCCAGGCGCCGCCGCCUCCCGGUGCAGCUGAAAGUCGACGAAGAGGGCGGGGCGGGGGCGGCUUGUGGACUUCCACACUUUUCCUCUCUUCGGGCCAGUCUGGGGAGAGGGUGGCUAGCUGUGGCGGCGGCCAAUUACGUGGCGGACCUGCGGGGCUAAGCUGGCACGUCACUUCCGACUAGUGGAGUUUUUAGCCUUUUAACAUUCAAGGAUUAGGUAAAAGUCUUGCAGUGAAAAACCCGAGGACCCUUACCGCAAGUGUCUUUUGCUCCCAGCUACUGAUACUGGAUUCCACUCGUGAUUCUCCCUUUCUUAGCGCAUUCAUGAUAUAGACAUCAGUCUCUGAGCUGGAGGAGGACAAAGGCAGCGGUCCUGUGAAUUCUAUGCUCUAGCUUGGGUUAAGGGAUUUGGAAUUGCACUUGUUUCAGAGAGCUCCCUCUUUGCCCACUAGCAGGGCAUUAGCUGGUGCUGAAGACAGUGGCUGCUUGGCGAGCCUGGAUCUCCAAGUGACCCCCUCAGCAACUCCUGAUGAACAGGACUGAAGCCAAUAUUAAAGCAAGUCAACCAAAGGUUCUCUGGUGUAGACAAGACAGCAAAAGGACAGACUACCUUGUGGAACCUAGCAUUGUUCUCCUUCUGCAGCACUAAGUAACAUUUGUUCUCCGUUAAGAUCUUUGCAAACCACACACAAGAAUUGCUGGUCAUCCUGCCAAUAGAUGCUGCUCACAGAACCAAAUUUCCUGUGCUGAAUUGUCACUCAUGGGCUUGAGAGUAGGAGACUGGAGACCAAGGUGGCUAGAAUCCAGUUGGGCCUGAUGUCUCCCUGUUGAAAGGGCUCCUUGUGGAAUGAAUAGCACAUGGCUCCUGUGGUGGAUCUGAUAGUGGCAUAGCACCAAGUGAUGCAGGCCUGCCAGGGGCCACAGACACAGAAGAUGCUCCCGGGGUCCCCCAUGUACUCCAGACACACUGCAGGCCACCUCUCCCAGCAGGUUGCCAGUCAUGGGCCCCAUCAUCAUGACUUCUGUCCAAGGUACUGUGUGCAGAAAUGUGAUUGAGAUUCAAGUCAGGGCCUCUCUGCCCUUUUCCCUCCAGAAACAAAACCAAGAUAAUUUAUCCUGAACACGGUGAAAAAAGGAAGGGAGGGAGGAGAAAAAGUCCGGGUCUCACCUGGGAUUCUCUGUCUCCUGCAACAUGAAGGAUUUAGCCUGGGAGGAGGUGGUGAGAACUCUGGGAGAGAAAAAAGAAGGAAAGAAUAGUUUUACCCAUGCUGAAGUUAAUUUAAACCUUCACCUAGAGAAGCAAAAAAAAAAAACCCACACUUUCCCAUUUUGUGCCUCCCUUCCUAGAGUUUUAGCCAAAGGUUUAGCUAAGUAAUUGGUUUUACCAGCGCACUCACUCCUCCUAUCCCAAGUCUGUUUGACUCCCUCCCCAUCAUCCUCCUCACCUCUUUUCAGGCAGGGUGGGGAUAGCAGCAGGAGGAGAUUUUGGGAGCCUGGCAACUCCUGCAAGGACCGCAGGACAGCCCCUCUGUGGGGAUGCGUGGUGCCCCAUCUGCCGCCCUUCUGAAGAAUGCACUGCCUUCACUUUUUACUGUGUUAGAGUCCAUCCAGACUGUUCUAUCCAAAAAAGUUUCUUUUUCCCCCACAGGCAAUCAGGAAAUGAUUCCUUUCCCGACUGCUUCUGUCUAGUGCCUGGGAAUCUUGAGUCAAUCCCUCAGUAAGUCAGUGACUAGGGAAAUCCCUCUCUGAGCCUCCCAGUUCAUGUUGCUUAGGGAACCUGAUAUUUUCGUGAAACCUGCCUACACAUGGGCAGCCCAACAGCAGAACAAAUGGUGGUGACCAAAGUGAACAAAGAAGUAUAGUUGUGCCAGCUUCGUAGUUGCCCAUGUGGACAAGUCAGCAGGAUCAGGACACGAGGAAGAGUAAAUGUGAGACAGUCAAUGUGACUUCUGCGAUAAACAGAUUUUUAAACCCCGAAAUUUUGCAAAAUUUUGGUGAAACCUGAACUUUCUUCGUUGCAUAUACUGGCACUAUCUGUACCAUCAUACAACUGUCUCACAUUAAAGCUAUUUUUCUUGGGCACUGAUGAGUAAGGGACUUGCACUUAGGAAUCUGUUACAGUGAGCACAGAAGCAGACCUGUGGGCUCAUAGUCUUCACCCCCCACCCAUAUAUACAAGAUGAACAGAGUGGAGGUUAAACAACUUGACUAAACAACACAGUUCAUGGUAAAGCCCAAGACUGUACCUGCCCAUCCACUGCCUUUUCCAUGUAUCCUGGAACUGAGCAUAGACCUCUUCCCAGGCAGAGCUGACAGCAAGUAAAGGAGAUCAUAAUCAGGGGACCAAACAACUUUGUCUAAAGUGUGAAUGUCACCUAAGGAGAAGCUGUGAGAUCAGAAGGGUGGGGCAGAGGAGCAGACACCAUGAGGGAGAGUCCUUGGGGGUACAUCUGCCAGACUGACACUGUCUGGCCUGGGCAGUGGAGGGGCUAGCAGGAACCACAGGUACUGGUGGUGUGGCUACUACCGUUACAACUGCCUGUGCUUGGACAUGGACCCUCUGCAAUAUGCGGCAGUUUCAUUCAUUGCCCCCUACAUUCUACACCAAGUAGAAAUGGAAGGCAAUUGGAUACUUCACAGACAAGAUCUAAGUGGAGAAGGAAUGCGUCCUGUGGCUGCAGAGAUCCUUGGAGCUUGGAGGGGAGAGCUUGAGCCCCACUGAUGAUGACCUCCCACAGCUCGCCAACUCAGCCCUCCCUAAGUCCCCAUCGGGGGCCAAUUCUCACUCUGGGGUUGGGGGGACUCCACCAUAGCUCAUCCAUCAUAGGGAUGUUGGUAUCUACUGUGGGUUGGGUAGGGCCGAUGUGCUGAGGAUGGCUCCCCCACAAGCAAGAGAUGUGGAUUUGGGGAGCUUCCCAUCUUGUGUUGAAGGAACAUAACUCAGAAUAAUAAGAGCCAACUAUAACAAACCCACAGCCAACAUCAUACUGAAUGGGCAAAAGCUGCAGGCAUUCCCCUUGAAAAGUGGCACAGGAUAAGGAAGCCCUUUCUCACCACUCCUAUUCAAUAUAGUGUUGAAAGUCCUGAUCACAGCAGUCAGGCAACAGAAAUAAUAAAGGGCAUCCAAAUAGGAAGAGAGGAAGUCAAACUAUCCUUGUUUGCAGACAGUAUGAUUCUAUAUCUAGAAAACCCCAUAGCCUCAGCCCAAAAGGUCCUUCAUCUGAUAAUUUCAGCAAAGUUUCAGGAGACAAAAUCAGUGUACAAAAAUCACUAACAUUCCUAUACACAGUCGCCAAGCCAAGAGCCAAAUCAGGAGCACAAUCCCAUUCAUAAUUGCCACAAAAAAGAAUAAAAUACCCAGGAAUGCAGCUAACCAAGGAAGUAAAGGAUCUCUACAAUGAGAAUCACAAACGCUGCUCAAAGAAAUCAGAGAUGACACAAACAAAUGGAAAAACUUUCCAUGCUCAUGGCUAGGAAGAAUCAAUAUCAUUAAAGUGGCCAUACUACCCAAAGCAAUUUAUAGAUUCAAUGCUAUUCCUAUCAAACUAUCAAUUACAUUUUUCACAGAACUAGAAAAAACUUAAAAUUCAUAUGGAACCAAAAAGCCUGAGUAGUCAAGGCAAUCCUAAACAAAAAGAACAAAGGUGGAGGCAUCACAUUACCUAACUUCAAACUACAGGGCUACCAUGACCAAAACAGCAUGGUACUGGUACAAAAGCAGACACACAGACCAGUGGGACAGAAUAGAGAGCCCAAAAAUAAGGCCACAAACCUACAGCCAUCUGAUCUUCAACAAAGUUGACAAAAACAAGCAAUGGGGAAAGGUCUCCCUAUUCAAUAAAUGGUGCUGGGAUAACUGGCUGGCCAUAUGCAGAAGAUCGUAACUGGACCCCUUUUACUAUGUACAAAAAUUAAGAUGGUUUAAAGAGUUAAAACCCAAAAUUAUAAAAAUCCUGAAGAUAACUUAGGCAAUACCAUUCUGGACAUAGGAACUGGCAAAUAUUUCAUGAUGAAGACACCAAAAGCAAUUGUAACAAAAGCAAAAAUGGACAAAUUGGAUUUAAGAGCUUUUUCAUAGCAAAAUAAACAACAGGGCAGACAAUCUACCAAAUGACAGAAAAUUUUUGCAAACUAUGCAUCUGACAAGGGGCUAAUAUCUAGCAUCUAUAAGGAAUUUAAACACAGUUACAGGAAAAAAAAAACCCACUCCAUUAAAAAAUGGGCAAAGGACAUGAACAGACACUUUUCAAAAAAGACAUACAUACAGCCAACUAGCGUGUUAAAGAAAACCUCAAUUAUCACUGAUCAUUAGAGAAAUGCAAAAUCAAAACCAUGAUGAGAUAUCAUCUGCCAGUCAGGAUGGCUACAAAAAAGUAAAAAAAUAAUAGAUGUUGGUGAGGUUAUGGAGAAAAGGAACUUAUACACUUGUUAGGAGUGUAAAUUAGUUCAAUCACUGUGGACAGCAGUGUGGUGAUUCCUCAGAGAGCUAAAAACAACUACCAUUUGACUCACCAAUCCCAUUACUGGAUAUUUACCUAAAGGAAUAUAAAUCAUUCCACCAUAAAGACACAUGCAAGUGUAUGUUCAUUGCAGCACUAUUAACAGUAACAAAGCUGGGCACAGUGGCUCACCUCACGACUGUAAUCCCAGCACUUUGGGAGGCUGAGGUAGGCGGAUCACCUGAGGUCGGCAGUUUGAGACCAGCCUGACCAACAUGGAGAGACCCCAUCUCUACUAAAAAUACAAAAUUAGCCAGGUGUGGUGGCUCAUGCCUGUAAUCCCAGCUACUUGGGAGGCCAAGGCAGGAGAAUUGCUUGAACCCAGGAGGCAGAGGUUGCAGUGAGCCGAGAUCACACCAUUGCACUCUAGCCUGGUGAAGGAGCAAGACUCCAUCUCAAAAAAAAAAAAAAAAAAGAAAGAAAGAAAAAUACACAUUCAGAGGAGACAAAAAAUAAAAAACAAUGAUGCAUGCCCACAGGAUCUAGAAAAUAACUUCUUAAGGGCAAAUCUAGGAGUUAUUGGCCUUAAAGAAGAGAUAGAGAAAGAGAUAGGAAUAGAAAGUUUGUUGAAAGGGAUAAUAACAUAGAACUUCCUAAACCUACAGAAAGAUAUUUAUAUCCAAGUACAAGAAGGUUAUAGAACACCAGGCCAAUUUAACCCAAAGAUUACCUCAAGGCAUUUAAUAAUCAAACUCCCACAGGACAAGGGUAAAGAAAGGAUCCUAAAAGCAGCAAGAGAAAAGAAACAGAUAACAUACAAUGGAGCUCCAAUACAUCUGGCAGUAUAUUUUUCAGUGGAAACCUUACAAGCCAGGAGAGAGUGACAUGACAUAUGUUAAAGUGCUGAAGGGAAAAAACCUUUUACCCUAGAAUAGUAUAUCCAGCAAAAAUAUCCUUCAAACAUGAAGAAUAAACAAAGACUUCCCCAGACAAACAAAAGCUGAGGGAUUUCAUCAACACUAGACUGGUCCCAUAAGAAACGCUUAAGGGAGUACUUUGGUCAGAAAGAAACAGACAUUAAUGAGCAACAAAGAAUCAUCUAAAGGUAAAAAACUCACUGUUAAGAGUAAGUACACAGAAAAACCCAAAGUGUGAUAACAUUGUAACUGUGGUGUGUAAGUAGAAAGAAUAAAUGAUAAACCAAUCAAAAAUAGUAACUACAACUUUUCAAGACCAGUCAGAAAAAUAAGAUAAAAUUAGAAACAACAAAAAGUUAAAAAGUGGGGGGAUGAAGUUAAGAUGUAGAGUUUUUAUUAGUUUUUUGUUUGUUAAUGCAAACAGUGUUACCAGGUUAAAAUAAUGGGUUACAAAAUAGUAUUUGUAAUCCUUAUGGUAACCUCAAACCUAAAAACAUACACUGGAUACAUAAAAAAUAAAAAGCAAAAACCUAAAUCAUAUCACCAGAGCAAACUACCUUCCCUAAAGGAAGACAGGAAGAAAAGAAAGAAGAAGACCACAAAACAACCAGAAAACAAAUAAAUAACAAGGCAGGAGUAAGUCUUUACUUAUCGAUAAUACAUUGAAUGGAAAUAUGGACUAAACUCUCCAAUCAAAAGACAUAGACUGGCUGAAUGAAUGGAGAAAACAAGACCCAUUGAUCUGUUGCCUACAAGAAACACACUUAAACUAUAAAGACACACAUAGGCUGAAAGUAAAGAGUUGGAAAGAGUUAUUCCAUGCCAAUGGAAACCAGGAAAAAGAGAAGGAGUAUUGAUUUUGAUACAAAAACUAUGAGACAAAUAAAGUCACUAUACAAUGAUAAAGGGGUUAAUAUGGUUUCCAUUUGUGCCCCACCCAAAUUUCGUGUUCUAUUGUAAUCCUCAAUGUUGGAGGUGGGGCCUGGUGGGACGUGAUUAGAUCAUGGGGGUGGAUCUUUCAUGACUAAUUCAGCACCAUCUUCUUAGUGCUGUUCUCAUGAUAGUGAGUUCUUCUGAAAUCUGGUUGCUUAAAAGUGUGUAGCACCUCUCCACACCACCCGCUUGCCUUGGUCUACUCCUGCUAUGUAGAUGCUUGCUCCCACUUUGCAUUAUUCCAUGAGUAAAAGCUCCCUCAGGCCUUCCCAGAAUCAGAUGCCGCUAUGCUUCCUGAACAGCCUGUGGAACUAUGAGCCAAUUCAACCUCUUUUCUUCAUAAAUUAACAAGUCUUGGGUAUUUCUUUAUAGCAGUGUGAGAACAGAAUAAUACAGAAAAUUGGUAAAGAGGAGUGAGGCAUUGCUAGAAAGAUACCUGAAAAUGUGGAAACAGCAGUGGAACUGGGAAAUAGACAGAGGUUGGAAGAGUGUGGAGGGCUCCGAAGAUAGGAAGAUGAGGGGAAGUUUGGAAUUUCUUAGAGAUUUGUUAAAUUGUUUUGACCAAAAUACUGAUGGUGAUAUGGACAAUGAAGUCCAGGCUGAGGAGGUCUCAGAUGGAGAUGAGGGACUUAUUGGGACCUGGAGUGAAGGUCACUUUUGUUAGGACAUUGUGGUUGGAGACAUUGUGCCCCUGCCCUAGGAAUCUGUGGAACUUUGAACUUGAGAGCGAAGAUUUAGGGUAUCUGGCAGAAGAAAUUUCUAAGCAGCAAAGCGUUCAAGACGUGGCCUGGCUGCUUCUGGUAGUCUGUGCUCAUAUUUGUGAGCAAAGACAUGACAAGAAACUGGAACUUAUAUUUAAAAAGGAAGCAGAGUGUAAAAGUUUGGAGAAUUUGCAGCCUGGCCAUGUUGUAGAAAAGAAAAAAACCAUUUUCUGGAGAGGAAUUCAAGCUAGCUGCAGAAAAUUGCAAGUAACAAGGAGCAAAAUGUUGAUAGCCAAGAUAGUGGGAAAAACACCUUGAAGGCAUUUCAGAUACCUUGGGGGCAGCCUCUCCCAUCACAGGCCCAAAGGCCUAGGAGGGAAGGAUGGUUUCCUGGGCCAGGCUCAGGGUCCUGCUGCCCUGCACAACCUCAGGAAACUGCUCUCCAAAUCCCAGCUGCUCCAGCUCCAGCUUCAGCUCAAAGGGCCCCAGGUAUAGCUCAGGCUGCUGCUCCAUAGGAUGCAAGUUAUAAGCCUUAGUGGCUCCCGUGUGGUGUUAAAUUAAGCCUGUAGGUGCACAGAGUGCAAGAAUUGAGGCUUGGGAGCCUCCAACUAGAUUUCAGAGUAUGUGUGGGAAAGCCUGGAUGUCCAGGCAGAAGCCAGCUGCAGGGACAGAGCCCUCAUGGAGAACCUCUACUAGGGUAGUGUGGAGGGGAAAUUUGGGGUUGGAGUUCCCACACAGCUUCCCCUCUGGUGUACUGCCUAGUGGAGCUGUGAGAAGACAGCCACUGUCCUCCAGAUUCCAGGAUGAUAGAUCUGCCAAUGACAGCUUGCACUGUACAACUGGAAAAGCCACAGGCAGUCAAUGCCAGCCCGUGAAAGCAGUGACAGUGGCUUACCCUGCAAAGUCCCAGGGGCUGAGCUGCCCAAGGCCUUGGGAGCCCACCCCUUGCACCAGUGUGCCCUGGAUGUGAGAUAUGGAGUCAAAGGAGAGUAUUUUGGAGCUUUAAGAUUUAAUGACUACCUGCUGGGUUUCAGACUUGCAUGGGUCCAGUAGCCCCUUUCUUUUGGCCAAUUUCUCACUUUUGGAAUGGGAGUGUUUACCCAAUUCCUGUACCCCCACUGUAUGUUGGAAGUAACUAACUGUUUUUUUAUUUUGUAAGCUCACAGGUGGGAGAGACUUGCCUUGUCUCAGGUUGAGACUCUGGACUUUGGACUUUUGAAUUAAUGCUGGAAUGAGUUAAGACUUUGAGGGACUGUUGGGAAGAUAUAACUGUAUUUUGCAGUAUGAGAAGGACAUGAGAUUUGGGAGACACCAGAGGUGGAAUAAUAUGAUUUGGAUCUGCAUCCCCACCAAAAUCUCAUGUUCAAUUGUAAUCCUAAAUUUUGGAGGUUGAGCCUGGUGGAAGAGGAUUGGAUAAUGGGGGUGGUUUCUCAUGGUUUAACACCAUCCCCCUGGGUGCUGUUCUCAUGACAGUGAGUGAGUUAUUGUGAGAUCUGAUUGUUUAAAAGUGUGUGCCACCUCCUCCCACUUUCCUCCUGCUCCAGCCAUGUAAGACAGGCUUGCCUCCCCUUCACCUUUUGUCAUGAUUGUAAGUGUUCUGAGGCCUCCCCAGCCAUGCUUCCUGUACAGCCUGCAGAACUGUGAGCCAAUUAAACCUCUUUUCUCUAUAUAUUACCCAGUCUCGGGUAUUUCUUUAUAGCAGUGCAAGAAUAGACUAAUACAGGGUUCAAUUCAGCAAGAGGAUAUAACAAAUAUAAAUAUAUAUGCACUCAACACUGCAGCACCCAGAUAUAUAAAGCAAAUACGAUUAGAGCUAAAGAGAGAGAGUGACCCCAAUACAAUAAUAGCUGGAGACUUCAACACCACAUUUUCAGCACUGGACAGAUCUUCCAGACAGAAAAUAAAAAAGAAACAUCAGACUUAAUCUGCACUGUAGAUCAAAUGGAUCUAAUACAUACUUGCAGAACAUUUUAUCCAAUGGCUGCAGAAUACACAUUCUUUUUUAGCACAUGUAUCAUUCUCAAGGAUAGACCAUAUGUUAGGUCACAAGUCUUAAAACAUUAAAAAAGUUGAAUACCAUCAAGCAUCUUCUCUGACCACAGUGGAAUACAACUAGAAACUAAUAACAAGAGGAAUUUUUGAAACUACAAAUACAUGAAAAUUAAACAAUAUGCUCCUGAAUGACCAUUGAGUCAAUGAAGAAAUUAAGAAGGAAAUUGAACAAUUUCUUGAAACAAAUGAUAAAGGAAACACAACAUACCAAAACCUAUGGGAUACGGCAAAAGCAGUACUAAGAGGCAAAUUGAUAGCUAUAAGUGCCUACAUGAAAAAAGAGGAAAAACUUCAAAUAAGCAAUUUAACAAUGAACCUUAACCAGAAAAGCAAGAGCAAAACAAACACAAAAUUAGAAGAAAACAAAUAAUAAAAAUUAGAGCAUAAAUAAAUAAAAUUGAAAUAAAAAUCAAUGCAAAAGAACAAUGAAACAAAAAGUUGCUUUUUUUCAAAAGUUAAACAAAACUGACAAGCCUUUAGCAAGACUGAGAAAAAAGAGACAAGAUACAAAUCAGAAAUGAAAAAGACAUUACAACUGACACUGCAGAAAUUCAAAGGAUCAUUAGGGGCUACUAUGAGCAACUCUAUGCCAAUAAAUUGGAAAAUCUAGAAGAAAUUGACAAUUCCUAGACACAUACAACCUACUGAGACUGGACCAGGAAGAAAUCCAAAACCUGAACAGACUAAUAACAAGUAACAAGGUUGAAGCCAUAAUAAAAAGUCUCCCACUAAAGAAAACCAAGGACCCGAUGGCUUCACUGUUGAAUUCUACCAAACAUUUAAAGAAGAACUAAUACCAAUCCCACUCAAGCUAUUGAAAAAUAGAGGAGGAGAGAAUAUUUCCAAAGUCAUUCUAGGAGACCAGUAUCACCCUGAUACCAAAACCAGACAAAGACACAUCAAAAAAAGAAAACUGCUGGCCAAUUUCUCUGAUGAAUAUUGAUGCCAGAAUCCUCAGCAAAAUAUUAGCAAACUAAAUUCAACAAUACAUUAAAAAGAUCAUUCAUCAGGGUCGGGUGCAGUGGCUUAAGCCUCUAAUCCCAGCACUUUGGGAGGCCGAGGUGGGCAGAUCACCUGAGGUCAGGAGUUCAAGACCAGCCUGACCAACAUGGUGAAACCUCGUCUCUACUGAAAAUACAAAAUUAGCCGAGUGUGGUGGUGCAUGCCUGUAAUCCCAGCUACUCAGGAGACUGAGGCAGGAGAAUCACUUGAACCCAGGAGGUGGAGGUUGCAGUGAGCUGAGAUUGUGGCACUGCACUCCAGCCUUGGUGACAGAGUGAGACUCCAUUAAAAAAAAAAUCAUUUAUCAUGACCAAGUGGGAUUUAUCCCUGGAAUGCAAGGAUGGUUCAACACAUGCAAAUCAAUCAAUGUAAUACAUCAUAUCAAAAAGAAUGAUUAAAACCAUAUGAUUAUUUCUAUUGAUGCUGAAAAAGUAGUUUAUAAAAUCCAACAUCCCUUCAUGAUAAAAACCCUCAAAAAACUGUAUAAAAGAAAUAUACCUCAACGUAAUAGCCAGAUAUGACAGACCCACAGCUAGUAUCAUACUGAAUGGGGAAAAAGUGAAAGACUUUCCUAUAAGAUCUGGAACACAACAGGGAUGUUCACUGUCACCACUGUUAUUCAACAAAGUACUGGAUGUUCUAGCUAGAGCGAUCAGACAAGAGAAGAUAUAAAGGCCAUCCAAACUGGAAAGGGAGAAGUUAAAUUACCCUAGUUUGCAGAUGAUAUGAACUUAUAUUUGGAAAAAACCUAAAGGCUCCACAGGAAAACUAUUAGAAUCAAUAAAUUCAGUAAAGUUGCAGGACACAAAAUCAACAUAUAAAAACCAGUAGCAUUUCUAUAUGUCAACAGUGAACAAUUUGAAAAAUUUUAAAUUUAAGAAGGUAAUUUCAUUUACAAUAGCCACACAUAAAAUUAAAUACCUAGGAAUUAACCAAAAAUGUGCAAGAUAUCUAUGAGGAGAAUUAUAAAACAUUGAUGAAAGAAAUUGAAGAGGACACAAAAAAAAUGGAAAAAAUUCCAUCUUUAUGGAUUGGAAGAAUCAAUAUUGUUAAAAUGUCCAUACUACCCAAAGCAAUCUACAGAUUUAAUGCAAUCCCUAUCAAAAUACCAAUAAUAGUCUUCAGAGAAAUAGAAAAAAAAAUCCCAAAAUUUAUAUGAAAACACAGAAUGCCCAGAAUAGCCAAAAUUAUAUUAAGCAAAAAGAUCAAAACUGGAGGAAUCACAUUACCUGACUUCAAAUUAUGCUACAGAGCUAUAAUCACCAAAACAGCAUGGUACUGACAUAAAAACAGACACAUAGUCCAACAGAACAGAAUAGAGAACCUAGAAACAAAUCCACACACUCACAGGGAACUCAUUUUUGACAGAGUUGCCAAGUACUUAUACUGGAGAAAAGAAAAGACAGUCUCUUCAAUGAAAUGGUGCUGGGAAAACUGGAUAUCCAUAUGCAGAAGAAUGAAACUAGACCCCUACCUCUCACUGUAGACAAAAGUCAAAUCAAGGCUAGGCAUGGUGGCUUACACCUGUAAUCUCAGCACUUUGGGAGGCUGAGGCAGGCGUAUCACGAGGUGAAGAGAUUGAGACCAUCCUGACCAACAUGGUGAAACUCACCCCCCCCCACCCACUAAAAAUACAAAAAUUAGCUGGGCGUGAUGGCAUGUGCCUGCAGUCCUAGCUACUCAGGAGGCUGGGGCAGGAGAAUCGCUUGAACCCAGGAGGUGGAGGUUGCAGUGAGCUGAGAUUGUGCCACUGCACUCCAGCCUGGCGACAGAGCAAGACUCCAUCUCAAAAAAUAAAAAAUAAAUUCAAAAUGUAAUAAAGACUUAAAUCUAAGACCUCAAACAUGAAACUACUAUAAGAAAACAUUGGGGAAAACCUCCAGGACAGUAGUCUGGCCAAAAAUUUCUUGAGCAAUACCCCACAAGCACAGGCAACCAAAAUAAAACUGGACAAAUAGUAUCACAUCAAGUUUAAAAGCUUCUACAAAGCAAAGGAUACAAUCAAUAAAGAGACAACCCACAGAAUGGGAGAAAAUAUUUGCAAACUACCCAUCUGACAAAGAAAUAAUAACCAGAGUAUAUAAGAAGCUCAAACAACUCUAUAGUAAAAAAAAAAAAAAAAAAAAUUCUAAAAGUCUAAGUAAAAAAAUGGGCAAAAGAUUUGAAUAGACAUUUCUCAAAAGAAGACAUACAGGCCAUGCGUGGUGGCUCAUGCCUGUAAUCCCAGCACUUUGGGAGGCCCAGGCGGGUGGAUCACUUGAGGUCAGGAGUUCGAGACCAGCCUGACCAACAUUGUGAAACUCCGUCUCUACUAAAAAUACAAAAAUAAGCCAGGCAUGGUGGCGCACACCUGUAAUCCCAGCUACUCAGGAGGCUGAGGCAGGAGAAUCGCUUAAACCUGGGAGACAGAGGUUGCAGUAAGCCGAGAUCACACCACUGCACUCCAGCCUGGGCAACAAAGUGAGACUCCGUCUCACAAAAAAAAAAAAAAAAAAAAAAAAAAAAGAAAAGAAAAAGGAAGAAGACAUACAAAGCCAGGUACAGUGGCUUAUGCCUCUAAUCCUAGCACUUUAGGAGGCCAAGGCAGAUGGAAUUGAGCCCAGAAGUUUGAGACCAGACUGAGCAAUAUGGUCAAACCCCAAUUCUGCAAAAUACAAAAAUAAAAAAUAGCUGGGAGUGGUGGUGCACACCUGUAGUCCCAGCUACUUAGGAAGCUGAGAUGGGAGGAUCACUUGAGCCUGCAGUGAAUCAUAAUUGCACCAAUGCACUCCAGCCUGGGCGACAGAGUGAGAGACAUUGUCUCAAAAAAAAGAAAAAGAAAAAAAAGAAAGGACAUAAAAAUGACAAACAGGCAUAUGAAAAGGUGCUGAUGAUUAUUGAUCCUCAGAGAAAUGCAAAUCAAAACUGCAAUGAGAUAUAAUCUCACCCCAGUUAAAAUGGCUUAUAUCCAAAAGACAGGCAAUAACAAAUGCUGGUGAGGAUGUGGAUAAAAGGGAACCCUCGUACACUGUUGAUGGGAAUGUAAAUUAGUACAACCACUAUGGAUAACAGUUUAGAGGUUCCUCAGAAAACUAAAAAUUGAGUUGCGAUAUGAUGCAACAAUCCUACUGCUGGGUAUAUACCCCACAAAAGACAAAACCAGCGUUUUGCAUGGUGGCUCACACCUGUAAUCCCAGCACUAUGGGAGGCCGAGGAGGGCAGAUCACUUGAGCCCAGAAGUUCAAGACCAGCCCGAGCAACAUGGCAAAACCUGAUUUCUACAAAAUACAAAAAAAAAAUUAGGCAGUUGUAGUGGUUCACACCUAUAGUCCUAGCUACUGUGGAGGCUGAGGUAGGAUCACUUGAACCUAGGAGGUGGAGGUUGCAGUGAGCCAAGAUCAUGCCACUGCACUCCAGCCUGGGUGACAAAGUGUGACCCUGUCUCAAAAAAGAAAAUCAGUAUAUGGAAGAGGUAUCUGCACUCCUAUGUUUUUUACAACACUGUUUACAAUAGCUAAGAUUUGGAAGCAACCUAAAUGUCUAACAGCAGAUGAAUGGAUAAGGAAAAUUUGGUAUGUAUACACAAUGAAGUACUAUUCAGCCAUAAAAAGGAAUGAGAUCCAGUCAUUUGCAACAGCAUGGAUGGAAGUGGAGAUCAUUAUGUUAAAUGAAAUAAGCCAGGCACAGAAAGGCAAACAUGGCAUGUUCUCACUUAUUUGUGGGACCUAAAUUCAAAACAAUUGAACUAAUGGACAUAAAGAGUAGAAGAAUGGUUACCAGAGGCUAGGAAUGGUAGUGGGGGGCUGAAGGGAAGGUGGGGAUGUUUAAUCGGUAAAAAAAAAUUUAGAAGAAUAAGACCUACUAUUUGAUAGCACAAUAGGGGGACUAUAGUCAAUAAUGCACAUUUAAAAAUAGUGUAAUUGAAUGGUUUGUAACUCAAAGGAUAAAUGCUUGAGGGAAUGGAUACCCCAUUCUCCAUGAUGUGCUUAUUUCACAUUGCAUACCUGUAUCAAAACAUCUCAUGUACCCCAUAAAUAUAUGCAGCUAUUAUGUACCCAC